AACAUCAAAAAAGUUGAAAGAUUUACCUACUGCUGACACCAAAUACCGGAAAUAGAUAGGUUCCAGAGGCUGUAGGAAAUAGUCAACCAUCUCAUUCUCCUUCAUUGGUGGCUGCUUGUUCUCUUCACCGGAAACCGUAUUCCCUGAAACUCUCGUUGUGUUUCUUCUCCAAUUUUGUCAACGAUAGUCGAUCCGGGACAAUUUCGAGGUUAUGUCGAAAGUGACAGGCAAACGCUUAUACAAGUCAUCCUAAGUAUACCAACGAUUAUGAUGCUGCCGAGUGUACCACUCCAGUGCCAACCCACUUAAACUCUGGAUAAAUUAUGCCAUUAGCAAUUCAUAUUUUCCCCCUGCUCCUCUCAUUUUGAUGCAAAACCUUCUUAGAUGCGCAACCAGAUCGUCAUGUCCAUCAUAUAAGUCAAAUUUAGGCAUAUUGAAACCC
rnacentral:lncRNA from 1 species